UAUUCAACUAUUAAAAC
rnacentral:tRNA from 4 species